rnacentral:rRNA from 1 species
UACGGGGGGAGCAAGCGUUGUUCGGAUUUACUGGGCGUAAAGGGCGCGUAGGCGGUCAGCACAAGUCAGUUGUGAAAUCUCCGGGCUUAACUCGGAAAGGUCAACUGAUACUGCCGAGCUAGAGUGUGGGAGAGGGUAGUGGAAUUCCCGGUGUAGCGGUGAAAUGCGUAGAUAUCGGGAGGAACAUCAGUGGCGAAGGCGACUGCCUGGCCCAACACUGACGCUGAGGUGCGAAAGCGUGGGUAGCAAACAGG